AUCUCAAUGGCACGUUGUGUCCUUGUAAGAUGAAAUUAUUAGAAUAGCUCGUCUUUGCUGAAAAACAAACUCUUCAUUCUCCCCCAUGACAUAUUCUGGGUGAAUAGUUUCUGCUAAACUAAUCUUUUAGAUGUUUGAAUAUUAAAAGUUAGAAUCUUCUGCUAAUGUCCUCCUACAUUUCUUUAUAGGAGUCAGUUCUAUGUCCUUAUUGAGCCCUGGAGUUCCAGUUGCUAAAGAUGUCUAUUACAGGUGAGAUAAGACACAAGCGGCAUUGGAUUGAGAAUCAGCAAGGACCAGCAAUUUCUCAGAAAACACAACC
rnacentral:lncRNA from 1 species